UAUGAAGGGGGCUAGCGUUGCUCGGAAUCACUGGGCGUAAAGGGUGCGUAGGCGGGUCUUUAAGUCAGGGGUGAAAUCCUGGAGCUCAACUCCAGAACUGCCUUUGAUACUGAAGAUCUUGAGUUCGGGAGAGGUGAGUGGAACUGCGAGUGUAGAGGUGAAAUUCGUAGAUAUUCGCAAGAGCACCAGUGGCGAAGGCGGCUCACUGGCCCGAUACUGACGCUGAGGCACGAAAGCGUGGGGAGCAAACAGG
rnacentral:rRNA from 1 species